ACUAAGCGUACACGGUGGAUGCCCUGGCAGUCAGAGGCGAUGAAGGACGUGCUAAUCUGCGAUAAGCGUCGGUAAGGUGAUAUGAACCGUUAUAACCGGCGAUUUCCGAAUGGGGAAACCCAGUGUGUUUCGACACACUAUCAUUAACUGAAUCCAUAGGUUAAUGAGGCGAACCGGGGGAACUGAAACAUCUAAGUACCCCGAGGAAAAGAAAUCAACCGAGAUUCCCCCAGUAGCGGCGAGCGAACGGGGAGGAGCCCAGAGCCUGAAUCAGUGUGUGUGUUAGUGGAAGCGUCUGGAAAGGCGCGCGAUACAGGGUGACAGCCCCGUACACAAAAAUACACAUAUUGUGAGCUCGAUGAGUAGGGCGGGACACGUGGUAUCCUGUCUGAAUAUGGGGGGACCAUCCUCCAAGGCUAAAUACUCCUGACUGACCGAUAGUGAACCAGUACCGUGAGGGAAAGGCGAAAAGAACCCCGGCGAGGGGAGUGAAAAAGAACCUGAAACCGUGUACGUACAAGCAGUGGGAGCACGCUUAGGCGUGUGACUGCGUACCUUUUGUAUAAUGGGUCAGCGACUUAUAUUCUGUAGCAAGGUUAACCGAAUAGGGGAGCCGAAGGGAAACCGAGUCUUAACUGGGCGUUAAGUUGCAGGGUAUAGACCCGAAACCCGGUGAUCUAGCCAUGGGCAGGUUGAAGGUUGGGUAACACUAACUGGAGGACCGAACCGACUAAUGUUGAAAAAUUAGCGGAUGACUUGUGGCUGGGGGUGAAAGGCCAAUCAAACCGGGAGAUAGCUGGUUCUCCCCGAAAGCUAUUUAGGUAGCGCCUCGUGAAUUCAUCUCCGGGGGUAGAGCACUGUUUCGGCAAGGGGGUCAUCCCGACUUACCAACCCGAUGCAAACUGCGAAUACCGGAGAAUGUUAUCACGGGAGACACACGGCGGGUGCUAACGUCCGUCGUGAAGAGGGAAACAACCCAGACCGCCAGCUAAGGUCCCAAAGUCAUGGUUAAGUGGGAAACGAUGUGGGAAGGCCCAGACAGCCAGGAUGUUGGCUUAGAAGCAGCCAUCAUUUAAAGAAAGCGUAAUAGCUCACUGGUCGAGUCGGCCUGCGCGGAAGAUGUAACGGGGCUAAACCAUGCACCGAAGCUGCGGCAGCGACGCUUAUGCGUUGUUGGGUAGGGGAGCGUUCUGUAAGCCUGCGAAGGUGUGCUGUGAGGCAUGCUGGAGGUAUCAGAAGUGCGAAUGCUGACAUAAGUAACGAUAAAGCGGGUGAAAAGCCCGCUCGCCGGAAGACCAAGGGUUCCUGUCCAACGUUAAUCGGGGCAGGGUGAGUCGACCCCUAAGACGAGGCCGAAAGGCGUAGUCGAUGGGAAACAGGUUAAUAUUCCUGUACUUGGUGUUACUGCGAAGGGGGGACGGAGAAGGCUAUGUUGGCCGGGCGACGGUUGUCCCGGUUUAAGCGUGUAGGCUGGUUUUCCAGGCAAAUCCGGAAAAUCAAGGCUGAGGCGUGAUGACGAGGCACUACGGUGCUGAAGCAACAAAUGCCCUGCUUCCAGGAAAAGCCUCUAAGCAUCAGGUAACAUCAAAUCGUACCCCAAACCGACACAGGUGGUCAGGUAGAGAAUACCAAGGCGCUUGAGAGAACUCGGGUGAAGGAACUAGGCAAAAUGGUGCCGUAACUUCGGGAGAAGGCACGCUGAUAUGUAGGUGAAGUCCCUUGCGGAUGGAGCUGAAAUCAGUCGAAGAUACCAGCUGGCUGCAACUGUUUAUUAAAAACACAGCACUGUGCAAACACGAAAGUGGACGUAUACGGUGUGACGCCUGCCCGGUGCCGGAAGGUUAAUUGAUGGGGUCAGCGCAAGCGAAGCUCUUGAUCGAAGCCCCGGUAAACGGCGGCCGUAACUAUAACGGUCCUAAGGUAGCGAAAUUCCUUGUCGGGUAAGUUCCGACCUGCACGAAUGGCGUAAUGAUGGCCAGGCUGUCUCCACCCGAGACUCAGUGAAAUUGAACUCGCUGUGAAGAUGCAGUGUACCCGCGGCAAGACGGAAAGACCCCGUGAACCUUUACUAUAGCUUGACACUGAACAUUGAGCCUUGAUGUGUAGGAUAGGUGGGAGGCUUUGAAGUGUGGACGCCAGUCUGCAUGGAGCCGGCCUUGAAAUACCACCCUUUAAUGUUUGAUGUUCUAACGUGGACCCGUGAUCCGGGUUGCGGACAGUGUCUGGUGGGUAGUUUGACUGGGGCGGUCUCCUCCUAAAGAGUAACGGAGGAGCACGAAGGUUGGCUAAUCCUGGUCGGACAUCAGGAGGUUAGUGCAAUGGCAUAAGCCAGCUUGACUGCGAGCGUGACGGCGCGAGCAGGUGCGAAAGCAGGUCAUAGUGAUCCGGUGGUUCUGAAUGGAAGGGCCAUCGCUCAACGGAUAAAAGGUACUCCGGGGAUAACAGGCUGAUACCGCCCAAGAGUUCAUAUCGACGGCGGUGUUUGGCACCUCGAUGUCGGCUCAUCACAUCCUGGGGCUGAAGUAGGUCCCAAGGGUAUGGCUGUUCGCCAUUUAAAGUGGUACGCGAGCUGGGUUUAGAACGUCGUGAGACAGUUCGGUCCCUAUCUGCCGUGGGCGCUGGAGAACUGAGGGGGGCUGCUCCUAGUACGAGAGGACCGGAGUGGACGCAUCACUGGUGUUCGGGUUGUCAUGCCAAUGGCACUGCCCGGUAGCUAAAUGCGGAAGAGAUAAGUGCUGAAAGCAUCUAAGCACGAAACUUGCCCCGAGAUGAGUUCUCCCUGACCCUUUAAGGGUCCUGAAGGAACGUUGAAGACGACGACGUUGAUAGGCCGGGUGUGUAAGCGCAGCGAUGCGUUGAGCUAACCGGUACUAAUGAACCGUGAGGCUUAACC
rnacentral:rRNA from 1 species